GAUUUCUGGCUUGAAACAUUUUGCCGGCCACGGUUUCGUGUGUUAGUGCUUGAUGUUCUGGCCAUCCUUCCAAUCGCUAUUGGCUUGUCUUCAUUGAUUGGUCAGUAGUAUUGGAUCUUUUACUUUGAAAAAAUUAGAGUGUUUCAAGCAGGCAUUUGCUAUGAAUACAUUAGCAUGGAAUAAUAAUUUAGGACUUUUGUUCUCUUUUGUUGGUUUCGCGAACGGAAGUAAUGAUUGAUAGGGAUAGUUGGGGGUGCUAGUAUUCAGUGGCCAGAGGUGAAAUUCUCGGAUUCACUGAAGACUAACUUAUGCGAAAGCAUU
rnacentral:rRNA from 1 species